rnacentral:misc_RNA from 1 species
AACGAAACUAAGACGGUUGACACAAUCGACUAACUCUCAAAAUAACAACUACAUAAUAUUAAGUGAAUAUUGAUGUGUUGCAUCCUUCUUCCAGCUUGUGAUGAAAUAACAAAGAGAGUGACUUCGGACUCUGAGCAACCUCACAGAUUCAAGAUGACCAGAAGGAAAACUGAGAUGAGUAUAACGAUCUAACAACUAAACAGAAAGGACGACUAAGAACUAAAAAAAACACGAUGAAGAAAAGAGCAACACAGACAAUAUGAACGGGCAUUUCCUUAACUCUAGCUGGCUUAUCCAAAUGGAAAGGCAGAGAAACACACAAUCCGCAACAAGCAAUAUAUAAGUCACAACAUUUGAUUCACAAGUAACAAAAGCAAA